rnacentral:tRNA from 1 species
GGAGGUACAGCUCAGUGGUAGAGCCAGCCCAUGCUUGGUAUGCAUGAGGUCCUGGGUUCAAUCCCCAGAGCCUCCG